CCCCAAAUUGAAAGGUUGAUGAGGGACAUUGUAAUAACUUGAACAAUGUAUGGUUGAUAUUACGGCAAUUAGAGAUGCUGAGAUUAUUUACAAAUUAAGAUAAAAUGCAAGAUGUUAUUUAAUUUUUAUCUAUGAUUUAAAAUCUAUGCAAUAAUAAUUAACAUGUGGAUCAUCCAUUUUAAAUGUUUGCUUUAAUUAUUUUAAUAUAUCAAAAAAAAAUUAUUUUUAAUAUAUGCAUAUGGUUUUAUAAAACAUAUGCAUUAGCUAUUUAAGAUAUAUAUGCACAGCGAAUUUGAAAUGCAUGCAUUAGCAUAAUCU
rnacentral:lncRNA from 1 species